CACGAAAGUUUCUCUGUCUUAAAAAAAUACUUAAUGAAAUUGAAUUUGUAGUGAAGAUGCUGCAUUAAAAUUGUAAGACGAGAAGUCCCCAUGGAGCUUUACUGAAGGCUUAAGAUUUUCUAUAAGCGGGACAGUUUUGUUGGGGCGACAGUUUUUUAAAAAGUAACAAAAACGAACUAUGGCGUAGCUUCACCCCGAAAAGUUUUUUAGGGGACAUUCUUGGUGUGUUUUAUGAUCCGUUGUUUGGAAAGAAAAAAAUAACGAAAACAGAUAAAAGUUACCCUGGGGAA
rnacentral:rRNA from 1 species